rnacentral:rRNA from 1 species
AAAUUGAAGAGUUUGAUCAUGGCUCAGAUUGAACGCUGGCGGCAGGCCUAACACAUGCAAGUCGAGCGGAAACGAGUUAUCAGAACCUUCGGGGAACGUUAACGGCGUCGAGCGGCGGACGGGUGAGUAAUGCCUAGGAAAUUGCCCUGAUGUGGGGGAUAACCAUUGGAAACGAUGGCUAAUACCGCAUGAUGCCUACGGGCCAAAGAGGGGGACCUUCGG